GAGGGUCUGCAGCUUAGUGGUAGAGCAUUUGCUCUGCAUGCAGAUGGUCCUACGUUAAAUCCCUGGCAUCUUUA